rnacentral:tRNA from 1 species
GACUUAAAAUUGGUGGGCUUUAUAGACCGUGAGGGUUCGAGUCCCUCAACCCCCA